ACGGCGAGAGCGACCGACCGGCCCUUUGCCGCUCCACCUCGCAGCUGGGAAGCCGUGGGGGUUCGCCCACCGGUGUGUGAGGGUCGCAGGCAAGCGUCGUGUGUGUCCCAGUGAAAGUUGAUGCUGGCUGUGCGCAACAAUGUUGCCGGGGCAAUGUUGCGGGUAAACGCCCUGGGCAAGGGGGAUUGAUAGGGUUGUGCAAGUCCUGCAAACGUCACCACCACCAUUACCACCACCAUCACCACCACCAAACCGACUCAGCGGCAGGGAGACCAAGUCACCCCCAUCGCUGCCUGUUCUACAGCAAGUGGCUGUGACAGAGACACGUGCAGUCGACUGCCGAAGGGAUACAAAGCUUUCUGAUCUAAGUAGAUUGGAAACGACGAGAAGAAUGCCGUCACCGAUGUUGUAGUUUACGAAUGUGGCAUGAGGCAGCAACACGCCAACACAAAUCUUCGUGCCGUGAGGUAUGCCGGCGAUACAAAUUGUGAGUCACGUUGUUUUUUGGAAGACGUAUGUUCUUUAAUAAUGAGUGUGUAUGCAAUAAUAUUUAUCUUGCGAUGGUCUGUGUAUAGUAAUGCUUUCAAAAAAAUUGCGUUUCUUGUAAUAAGCCUGCAAAAGUGUAGCGUAACAGUCAUACUUUUAAUGUACUUUCAAAUAUUUCUCCAUGAGUCAUGAAACACGUGGUAAACGAUAUGCAUGGUACCUUAAGUUAAGAGUUUGCUCACAGAUAACUCUGGACGAAUUCGUUUUCCAAGCAAGUCUGACAGCACAAUGUUAGCGUUCAAGGGGUUAAGAAUAAAUCAUCAGUCGUGCAAACACGAAUGUGCAUACUAUUGUGUAUAAUAAGUACAUUUCACUUGAGAGAUUUCAUUUCAGAUAUUGUGUAUUAGAUUAGGCAUGUGUGUUCUGUUUGAAUAUACAGUGAACUAAUUGAGUUUCCCCCUUUUGCCUCCAAGCAGCCGCUUACUCUCUGCUGCCAGUAAUUGUGGCACAGCACUGCAACUCAGCAGUGGAUUUAUUUAUCCUGAAGGGCUUGGCCAUUAUGAAGCUUGUUUUACUGUGGCGUGCAGGAAAUGAAGGAAAUAUGGCCCAGAAGGUCAUAAAGUACUAAAAGAUCAUUGUAGUAAAUUACAUUUUAAGGAGCAUCUUGUCGGGGGCUCCCCCCCCCCCCCCUCCACACACACUCUCUCUCUACCUGAAAUAAUCCAUGAUAGAUUUUUUUUGGGUGGUAAUGGUCGCGAAAGCGCGCGUGUUAAACUACCUGAAAGAAGCCACACACGACCAACAGGCGUCGGAUUAUUUUACGGAGGAAAUAUCGCCUUGCGCGUGCGCCGGUCCCCUACUUUGAGACAAAAGAGUGUACGAGGGGGCUUGAUUGUGCGCAGUAAAUUGUACAGAAAGUGGGACGCAGCAGCUGGCGGUCCUAGCAAAGUACUCUCUGGUGUACUUUAGACACCGUAGGCAGACCCUGCAAGCAAGGCGCAGCACCGCCGACUAAUUGAAUCCUCGCACAUUCAGUGUACGGCACAAAAGCAAGUAAUUCUUUUAAAAGAGCUCAAUCGCAUAGCGCUGCAGCGAUGCCGCUAAUGUCUCACUUCGCGCUCGGAAAUAAUUAGUAUUGGGUGUACAAAUGAUUCCUGAGCAACUAUUGUCACCCAUCGUGGUACAUUUUAAGGAAUAUUCAUUUUUAGUAAGCAACAAAGCAUUAUUGUCAUUGCACGGCAGGAAGGUUAUGCUAGAAAACGAGUGUUUUUUGGCAUUGGUAUAGCCCUGUGAAACAUCUCCUCACUUAUUCUAUUUGUCACUCCCGAGUAGAACUGCAUUGCCGUGUAAUUGGCACCAACCGGCUAUUUGGUCUGUAACCGUGUGAGAGAUAGAAACGAAUCAAAACGGUACGAGCGUGUUAUUUAAAAGUGAGGAUCGCUUUGGUUUCUGUAACCAGCGCCUUCUGCCAAAUAUUAGGCAUUUGCAUGGCAGGGCCUACUACGUAUCGAUGUCAUCAUGCACGUUAUUGUACCACGUGGUUUAGAUAGAGAUGUGGUUCCGGAGGUGGUGGUGGGGGGGGUUGUUGCUUCACGAGGUCAGAGGGUAAAACCUGGAGGGCAGCAGGCGGCCAGUGGUCAUGUUAAAAAAUGUCUUCCACUACAUAAUUGAUCGUGGCUUGGUGCUUUCACUGAUUUGACAUUUGACUUAUUGGCAUCAUCCUAUAUAGAUUGGCACGGUUGGCUACAUACAGUGUGUAAGAAGUUCAACAUACAUACAUUUUGUUGCAUUAUUUAGUCCAACCAGACCCAGGUUGUUGCCCACAAUUUGUAGUCUGCAACUUUUAAUUCAAACAUUGUCCUGUAUCAGUGCUCAUCGGGAAUUCACGUGACACGUUGCACGUGACAUUUCGUUCGACCUAAACGAUGGCCGCCC